rnacentral:rRNA from 1 species
GUGGGGAAUAUUGGACAAUGGGCGAAAGCCUGAUCCAGCCAUGCCGCGUGUGUGAAGAAGGUCUUCGGAUUGUAAAGCACUUUAAGUUGGGAGGAAGGGCAGUAAGUUAAUACCUUGCUGUUUUGACGUUACCGACAGAAUAAGCACCGGCUAACUUCGUGCCAGCAGCCGCGGUAAUACGAAGGGUGCAAGCGUUAAUCGGAAUUACUGGGCGUAAAGCGCGCGUAGGUGGUUUUGUAAGUUGGAGGUGAAAUCCCCGGGCCCAACCUGGGAACUGCCUCCAAAACUGCAUGACUAGAGUACGGUAGAGGGUAGGGGAAUUUCCUGUGUAGCGGUGAAAUGCGUAGAUAUAGGAAGGAACACCAGUGGCGAAGGCGACUACCUGGACUGAUACUGACACUGAGGUGCGAAAGCGUGGGGAGCAAACAGGAUUAGAAACCCCGGUAGUCC